UCCGGUGAAGUGUUCGGAUCGCGGCGACGUGGGCGGUUCGCUGCCCGCGACGUUGUGAGAAGUCCACUGAACCUUAUCAUUUAGAGGAAGGAGAAGUCGUAACAAGGUUUCCGUAGGUGAACCUGCGGAAGGAUCAUUGUCGAUGCCUAACAAGCAGUGCGACCCGUGAACUCGUUUAACCGCUUCGGGGCGGCUCGGGGUGCUCUAGAAGGCACCUCUGCCUCCUCGAGUUGGGAGGCAACUUCCUUGCGUGGUUUCCUCCUUGCCCAAACAACAAACCCCGGCGCGAGAUGCGCCAAGGAAAUCGAAAUCGUUUAGUGCGCUCCCCGUCGACCCGGAGACGGUGCUCGAGCGGGCGGCGUUACGACGCAAGAUUCUAAAUGACUCUCGGCAACGGAUAUCUCGGCUCUUGCAUCGAUGAAGAACGUAGCGAAAUGCGAUACUUGGUGUGAAUUGCAGAAUCCCGUGAACCAUCGAGUCUUUGAACGCAAGUUGCGCCCGAAGCCAUUAGGCUGAGGGCACGCCUGCCUGGGUGUCACACAUCGUUGCCCUUAAUCCGAUGCCUUGUGCAAGGCCUCGUGGUUGGGCGAAUGUUGGCUUCCCGUGAGCAUCGUCUCGCGGUUGGUUGAAAUUUGAGUCUGUGGUGGGGAGCACCACGAGAGAUGGUGGCUGAGUGAAGCUCGAGACCAAUCGUGCGUGUCUCUCCGUCGGGUUUGGACUCUCUGACCCGUGGGCAUUCGUUCGAUCGCCCAUGACGAGACCUCAGGUCAGGCGGGGCUACCCGCUGAGUUUAAGCAUAUCAAUAAGCGGAGGAAAAGAAACUAACAAGGAUUCCCCUAGUAACGGCGAGCGAACCGGGG
rnacentral:rRNA from 1 species